AGGUUGUAGGUUUGGAGGCAGGACUGGGAUGCAGGACAUGGCGAGGAGGCUGCAUGAUGGCGCUGGAGGUUCUUAGGUGCUCUGGGUGACAGGUGCGACCUAUCUGCUGAUUGCAUGGAGGAGUACUUAAGUGGGAGGCCGCCAGCACUUCGAUGCCAGAGUGUUUGCUUACAGUGGUUACUAACCUGAGGCUUUGUUUACCUUGCUGAGGACUAACUUGGCUCCAGAAGUUUCUGGGUGAUCAAGAUUACCGCCUCCUGGAAAUUGGAUCCACGUUUUGAGGACUUUGUUUCCAACCUCCUGUUACUUAUUCGGACAAGGACCAAGCUGGCGGCUUCCCGCUUCCUUCGACUUCUGGACCAAGGAAUAAGCGUACCCUGUUCCACCCUCCAACACAAGUACCUGCACCUGAACUAUCGCUUGUCCUCACCAAGUCAUCUCCAACAGCACCAGAGAAAACAGCUGAGCAACUUCUACCUCGCAAGCCUAGACCCUGAAUCCCUCUACCCCUGGUGGUUCAAGCAGCAACAAUUUAGGGGCAGUUUGGGUCAGAAACUGAAUUAAGACACAGCUGGUGUUCCAUCAGGACAGUGAUUCCAAAAACACAUCAAAACUGGGUUUGGAAUAAAAUGAAACAGACUUCUAUUAAGCCUUUGGGAGGAUGCUUUUUGGUCUUCCACGUCUAUUUUCCUAAUGUUAAACACCUUCUGCACAAUAUGCUACUAUAGUCAGGUACAAGAAAUCCACUGAAAAGCAGCCAAAGUAAAAGAAGGAAACUUUGAAAUACUUUCAAAAAGUCAAAACUUUAAGAGCCUACAAUUAAGAAAAUCUGGCUCCUUGGAAGCAAUGGACAGUCAUAAAAAGUACACCUUUUGGAUAUAUGGCUUUAUAUAUUUUCCUUGUUUCCAACAUUUUGGGGUGUACUUUAUUGUUCCCAAAUCGUUUUGUUUUGUCUUUCUCUUUAUUAAUCAAAACAAAUGACACUGGAAUCUGUGGUGUGUUGUUUUCUAAAAUUAAGAAUAAAUUCUAGUAAGAUUACAAACAUUUAUAUGUUGAAACACUGAGGUAGUUCAAAACGGAUACAAAAACAAAAUAAAUAUUUUAUAAGAAAUCUUUGAAUUUCUUAAAAGAAAAGCGCAUGUGGGAACUUUGCUAUCAUUCCAGAUUUCUCCAGACCAACCUAAAGGUCUUCACUUAUGUGCAAGAUUUAUUCUCAAUCUUUUGUUUAAUAUUGUUCCAUUUCAGGAGCAUUGUGGGAAUGACGCACUGGUUUUAUCACUGAUAUAGUUCAGAACAAACGUUGCAGGCUCUCUGUGGAUUUUAAAUAUUCUCAGGCAGUGAUCUAUUAUUUGGAAAGGGAAAGUUACUGUAGUACAUAUUCAAUUUAAAAGUACUUUAUUAAUCGCAAAGGGAAAUUAAAUGUUGUUUUAGCUCAAAUUACGCAGGUUUCUUCAAAGAGCCAAUGUAUAUGUCAAUGUAUGUGUGCAUAUAAUAAAUAAAAUAUAAUGUA